GCAGCUGCCUCGGGAGGACCUGUAGAGAUAAGAUGAAGGAACGUGAAGGGCAUUCACGCUCUUCUGCAUGAUCUGGACAGAGACGGAGCCGGGAAUAUGCCACCCUGCCUUUCUGAGCUGGGCAGAUGAGCAUGGAGGGUACCUGAGGCUGAUGGUACUCCCAGGGGUGAAGGAAGGACAAACAGGCACAGCUGAUGUUGGCCACUCCCAGCAGACACCAGGGGAGCAGGUGUGUCCUGAGGCAGGGUGGCAUCCCAUCUCAGUGGGUCACCGUGGAGGCACAGCUCGAGCACAUCAGUGGCCCGAUUGCCAGAACUCUCCCAGGUCUACAAGGAGUGGGAGGGAGCCUGGACAUACAGGGGAGACAAGCCCGCAGAGGUGAGAGGAACGGAAUGCUGGCUGCUAGCCAGAGCAGCAUCUGCUCCAUGAAAACUGGGUAACACCUCUGGAACCUUCAAAAGCACUAAGAAUGAAUCAACCCUAUUAAAGCUGGAUGCCAGCGUUUCUGCUAAUGCAGAUUCACCAGAUCCUUCGCAGUGCCUCGCCUCACCUGGUGCAGGGCUCCCCACUCUGUCCCCACCGUGCACUAAGCAGUGUGCUAGAAGUGCUGGGUUCCUGUGGGCCAUGCCCCCCAUGCUCAUGCAGAAAAAGGAAUGACCACAAGAGAGGGCACCCAAGGGCCGCCCUCCCCCAAAACUCCUGGA